rnacentral:tRNA from 1 species
GGCGGCGUAGCUCAACCGGUUAGAGCAUACGGCUCAUAUCCGUAGUGUUGGGGGUUCAAGUCCCUCCGCCGCUACCA